AUUUAUUCAGUCACAGAGAAGACCACAGGCUGUUCAAAACAGACAAGACACCUCUUGAGCUUUGCUGCCUACUUCAUUUCACCAGAUAUACCCUAAAUCAUCACACUCAAGUUCAAAGUUUCAGAGGUCUCCAGGGCAGGGACACCAUCCUGCCAAGUUCUUUGCUAAGGGAAAACAAAAGUAACCUUGACUCCUGUUCCCAGUAAGUUGCUCAUUUUCAUCUGAGACCUUCUAAGCCUGGUCUUCACUGUCCAUCCUUCAGUCACUAUUUUAAUUAUAGCUAUGUAACAAGUCUCCAUGGUCACCCUUUUAAUUUAACACAUCUCUACAAUAGUCCAAAUUUUCCCUCAUCUUUCUUUCUUCUUCCAAGCCCCCCAAACUGUGCAGCGUCCGGUGGUUACCCACUUCUGAACCUGCUUCUACGUUUUCAGCCACCGUUGUGGCAGCCUAGCAAUGUGGUGAAAGGAGAAAAGUCCAUUUUCAGGGGGAAAAUUCAAGAAGGCUUCAGAUAUUACCAUAUAAAAGUGGGCAAAUGUUAAUAGUAAAAAAAAAAAAAAAUGGGGAAAAAACCUUGAGGGCAUUUCAUGGCUCCACUCUACAGUACAAAUUUUCUGUAAUAUUAUUUUUAAAAGAGUUUUAAUUGGCUCAUGGUUCUGCAGGUUGUAAAGGCAGCAAGUGGUUUCUGCUUCUGGGAGGACUCAGGGAGCCUCCCAAUCAUACCAAAAGGCCAAGUGACAAUGAGAUAUUCCAUAUGGCAGGAGUAGGAAGAAGACACAGAGAAGGAAGAGGUGCCACACCAGUUUAUACAACCAGAUCUCAUGAGAACUCACUAUCAGGAGAUCAGCAUCAGGAAGAUUAACCAAUGGUGAAGGAUCCACCCACACCACCGCCUACUGUUUCCAGGCAGAAGCCUCCUGCAGAGCAGAAUCUCCUGGAGAACCUCUACAAGUGCAG
rnacentral:lncRNA from 10 species